rnacentral:rRNA from 1 species
UGGGGAAUAUUGCACAAUGGGCGAAAGCCUGAUGCAGCAACGCCGCGUGAGCGAUGAAGGCCUUCGGGUCGUAAAGCUCUGUCCUCAAGGAAGAUAAUGACGGUACUUGAGGAGGAAGCCCCGGCUAACUACGUGCCAGCAGCCGCGGUAAUACGUAGGGGGCUAGCGUUAUCCGGAUUUACUGGGCGUAACGGGUGCGUAGGCGGUCUUUUAAGUCAGGAGUGAAGGGCUACGGCUCAACCGUAGUAAGCUCUUGAAACUGGAGGCCUUGAGUGCAGGAGGGGG